GUCACACAGUGCAUGUGGGAGCUCCGUGUGAUUGCCCAAAAGAAGGCCCACCUCCCCUUGCUGCAGUGAACUUGCUCCUACCAGCAGUGAGGACUACGUGGCAGCUAGUCUGUGAAGCCUCAUGAACUGGGAUCUAACAAGUUGCAGGGAGAGAGAGAUUCUUAUUACUGUCUGUGAAUGCAACACGUUGCCUCAAAACCGUCUGUAGAGCUGCUGGCCCAGAGUCAUUCCUCUAACUCAGGGGCUUACUGAUUUGUGUGUGGAGCACAUUUUAAAGGCACAGAGAAAGGAUGCAUGUCAUCUCAACUUCACAGAAGAUAAUUUCCAGAUCACUACCGUAAUUAAUUAAGGGACACAUGGGCCAUCAUGGGGAAAGGACACACUCUGUCUGUGGCUUGGUAACAGAGGCAGCAGCAGAAGCACGGUGCACGCAGAUUGUAAGUGGAUUUGAAUAUGGUCUCUUGAAAAAUAUGAGAUAGCGCACAAUAUGUUUUCCUCGGUGCCGUAAUGUAUUUCAAACAGCUCACUUCCAUCUCCUGCACUUUAAUUAGCAUGAAAAUUGGCCAGUU